GGGUCAGUAACUCAGUUGGUAGAGUAUUCGGCUUUUAACCGACAAGUCGUGGGUUCGAGUCCCACCUGGCCUA
rnacentral:tRNA from 1 species